UGGGGAAUUUUGGACAAUGGGGGCAACCCUGAUCCAGCCAUCCCGCGUGUGCGAUGAAGGCCUUCGGGUUGUAAAGCACUUUUGGCAGGGAAGAGACAGCCUGGGAUAAUACCCCGGGCGACUGACGGUACCUGCAGAAUAAGCACCGGCUAACUACGUGCCAGCAGCCGCGGUAAUACGUAGGGUGCAAGCGUUAAUCGGAAUUACUGGGCGUAAAGCGUGCGCAGGCGGUUCGGAAAGAAAGGUGUGAAAUCCCAGGGCUUAACCUUGGAACUGCACUUUUAACUACCGAGCUAGAGUACGUCAGAGGGGGGUAGAAUUCCACGUGUAGCAGUGAAAUGCGUAGAGAUGUGGAGGAAUACCGAUGGCGAAGGCAGCCCCCUGGGAUGAUACUGACGCUCAUGCACGAAAGCGUGGGGAGCAAACAGGAUUAGAUACCCUGGUAGUCCACGCCCUAAACGAUGUCAACUAGCUGUUGGGGUUUAUUAACCUUAGUAGCGCAGCUAACGCGUGAAGUUGACCGCCUGGGGAGUACGGUCGC
rnacentral:rRNA from 1 species